ensembl:lncRNA
ACAACCUCACAGAUGAUGUGGGCUACCAAGGGAGCCAGGAGCUGACCAGCGUGAGUACCCCACCCCGGGCCCCCCUCCCCUGGGGUCCCGCACCCCUUGCCCCGUACCACACUGGCAACUUACCUCACUGACCUCCUCUAGGAGGUCUUGCGGCAACCUCCCAUAUCUUCUCGACACCCUUCCAAUUCACAUCUUUACUAAACACGGCUCAGAUUUACUCCUUCCGGAACAAAACACCAACACUGAGAGUAACUGCAGCUUCUACUUACUGAGAACUUCCCACUGCCUCCCUAUCAGGUAGAUAUUAUUAUUAUCCCUAUUUUUCAGACGAGGAAACGGAGGCAAAGUCAAGUUAAGUGACCCUCCCAAGAUCGGAUAAACAGGAGGCAGAGACGCUAGGGUCUGAGCUGUGUGUCUGAGCCGAGGUAUCACACAGAACCGCCUCCCCCGCUGGCGGCCAACAUUUACGUGCCGCGCAACGCACUCGGUAUAGGAACUUAGCUCUUGGUUUAUUUGAGAGAGGCUUUAAAUGCUAGUUUCUGUUAGCAGUGACUGACACAAUACAUUGCUCAUAUUUAAAUGCUAAUUUUUAAGAGAGAGAGUGGGGAGAGGGGCAGAGACGGAGAGACUCCCAAGCAGGCUGUCAGCGCAGAGCCCACGUGGGGCUUGAUCUCACUAACCCUGAGACCAUGACCUGAGCCGCAAUCAAGAGUGGGACACUUCACCGACCGAACCACCCAGGCGCCCCAAGCUGCUCACAUUGAAAAUGCACCGUUUGGUGUGCGGACGUGUACGUACUCGUGAAACCAUCGCCACAAUCAAGAUAAUAGACGUAUCCGUCCCCCCCCCAAGUGUGAGCAGCCAGGGGGUCCAGAGCAGAGUCCUUAGACGGCUGGUAUCUGCCUUCCAUAGUGGGUCUGUAUGAAACGAAGGCACCUGCCCUGGGACCCUUGGAAAGAGGCCAGCUGUCCACCUCGCGCUGGGAUAAGCCUGCGGUGAGGUCCGGGAGCGUCCACCGGGGGGCAGGCUUCCGCCGACGCCCGCGGUCCAGGCUCGCCUCUGACCUCAGGGCUUCUCUGCCUCCCUUCCCCCCUCAGACACGAAGCCCCGUAUGUAACGGGACGGGUCAGUGGAGAGCGCGCUUCAUCCCCUGCUCUCGGAUUCCCCAAGGAGGAAGACCCCGGCCUCGCUCGGUCCAAGAGGCGGAAGCGCAGCAAGGUCGCCACCGUCCGGCCGAGGAGGGACAAGGCGAAGGACGAGGACGCGGACGAGGAGGACGAGGACCCCGAGAACGAGGGGCCGCCCCGGGCCGCGCGGUCCCCGAGGGUGCGGCGGAAGCGCCACCCGUCCUCGCGGACGCGCCCGCUGCGGCAGGAGCACCCGGGCAGCUCGGAAAGCAGCCCGAGCACGCUCACGUCCAAGAGCAAGUCGUCCCGCUGGAGCCUGGCCGGCUUCGGCCGGUACCUGUGCAGCUGCUGCGACCGGCGGCGGCGGUAGGGGGCGGGCGCCGAGGCCGAGGCGGCGGGGGAGGCCGGGGGCGCGGGCGAGCCCCCCGGGGAGGGCUCGACCCCGGCCCCGGCCCCGGCCCCGGCCCCGCCAGCGAGCACCGCACGCAAGAGGCUCCCGGGAGCGCGCCCAGGGACCAGGAGGACGGACAGGAUCAUCCGGCUCCCAUAGGCCUCGGGAGAGGUGACGAGGCUUUUGAAACCCUGGAAGGACUGGAGCUCCAAGAAGGAGGACAGCAAGGGGCCGGAGGCCUGAGGGGACUGACCUGGAGCCCUCUUGCUACAGGGUUUCCCCUCCAGAGUUCUGCUCUUCUUCUAGUGACUCUCAGCUCAAAGCAACGCUUUGGGCUUCGCGUUUCGCAAACAAGACUGCCUUAACGACAGCCGUCCGCUAAACAAGCCUGGCCUCUCAGGCUUCCUUCCUCGCCCGAGUAACAGGAGAGGGGCCCGGCCCUCCAGAGCCCCCCACCUUGCCCCUGCCCGGCAGGCUGAGGGUCCAGAGGGCACGUCUGCGGCGGGGGAGACACAGCCCGCCUCGGCUAGGUUCCCUAGAAGCGGAGGCCGUGAGGAAGCAGGACGGGGCAGAAAGAGGGCGGAGCAGGGCUAUGGCCUUCUCAGUCUUCCCCGCCGGGGUCUAGGGAGCUGUGGCGCGAGAGUCAGCCCACAAGAUUGGCAGCACUUUUGAGGCAUAUCAGCACUGCGGGCUGCCCGACGUUGGCGGGGGGGGGGGGGGGGGGGGCGUGUACCUUCCCCAGCAAGGCAGCUCUGGGUUGAUGCAGGGUCACUGGCUGCGAGCUGUGAGCAGGCAGCCCCGAAGGAGCCGGGCGUGGGUGCUGGCCGGCCGCGGGAUCUGCCCGGGGACCAGACAGCGACCGCUAGCAAUCACUGAGCUCUGUGGUAUUUCCCAGUACAGAUUUACCUUCAGUAAAUGCCGCACGCGUGCAUGACAGCAAAGUGCAUCAUGGCGAAGUGCGUAAAAUAAAAACACAAAUAAGGGAGAAAGGACGGCCCUC